rnacentral:rRNA from 1 species
CAGUCGCGCGGGAAUACGUAGGGCGCAAGCGUUGUCCGGAAUUAUUGGGCGUAAAGAGCUCGUAGGCGGUCUGUCGCGUCUGGUGUGAAAUCCCGAGGCUCAACCUCGGGCUUGCAUCGGGUACGGGCAGACUAGAGUGCGGUAGGGGAGACUGGAAUUCCUGGUGUAGCGGUGGAAUGCGCAGAUAUCAGGAGGAACACCGAUGGCGAAGGCAGGUCUCUGGGCCGCAACUGACGCUGAGGAGCGAAAGCAUGGGGAGCGAACAGGAUUAGAGACCCCUGUAGUCCCUGUCUCUUAUACA